rnacentral:rRNA from 1 species
AUUGAACGCUGGCGGCAUGCUUUACACAUGCAAGUCGAACGGCAGCGCGGGCUUCGGCCUGGCGGCGAGUGGCGAACGGGUGAGUAAUGCAUCGGAACGUGCCCAGUAGUGGGGGAUAGCCCGGCGAAAGCCGGAUUAAUACCGCAUACGACCUGAGGGUGAAAGCGGGGGACCGAAAGGCCUCGCGCUAUUGGAGCGGCCGAUGUCGGAUUAGCUAGUUGGUGGGGUAAAGGCUUACCAAGGCGACGAUCCGUAGCUGGUCUGAGAGGACGACCAGCCACAGUGGGGCGGAGAGGAGGUCCAGGGUCCGACGGGAGCGAGCAGUGGGGAAUAGGGGACAAUGGGGGCAAGACUGAGCAAGCCGUACCGCGUGGGUGAAGAAUGCCUUCGGGUAGUAAGGCGGGGUGGUGGGGAAAGAAAAGCAGCAGGCUAAGACUCCGCGGGUGUGACGGUCCGCAAAGAAUAAGCACCGGCUAACUUCGGG